GCGGCAUUUAGUGUCUCACCAGAAAACUAGGAUUGUGUGCACCCCUUCCUAGGCGGGCGAACUUCGUCUAGGGCUCAACUCGGAAACACAGGUGUAAGGAAUAGGACAGGAGACAGGAAACCCCGUCACGUCAGAUGUCAGGUGCUUUUCCGUGUGCCCUGGGCCCUAUUGUUUGCUCACAACCUUUUCAGUGUCUCCCUAGGCCCUGGGUCUCCUCACUAGGCUACUUGUUCCUCUGAGGGGGGAAGAUUGCCCUGUGAUUAGGGCUGUGCAGCUCCCCCGCCUUUCCCCCUUUGGCUGCCUCUAGGGAGUGGGAGCAGCACGUAGGACAGAAGCCUGGAGAUGAGACCAGCUCUCUGGUCCUUCACCCGUCACCCCCCGAAAGGGAACGAACGGCUGGGAACUGCCAUUCGGCAGGCAAGGAACUCCUUCCUGUGACACGCUUGGCACGGGAAGAGAAGGGAAGGCUUGAAGUAAAAAGAACACACAGUGAGUGUCCACAUUCAGAGGGAUCUGAGUUCAGUCCUUCCUUUACUGUAAGGACAGGGCCCAAGUCCUCCUCCCUGCCUCCAGGGCCUGUGUCUUGAUGGAAGCCUCCAUCCAGCAGGCAGGCAGGUGAAGCUCCUGUCCAGCUCCAUCCGAGCAGUAAUGCUGCCUUGGGUUCCGAUCUUGUAUGCAGCGCUUCCCAGUUCCUUGGCUCCACGGGACCUGCUGGCCGGCAGCUGCUCUGCCCCCAGACAGGAGCACAGCAAGCUCUGGCUUCAGCCCUGCUCAGCACACUGCAUUUCUCUCGGUUGCUGAUCCACAGUAUUCACCUCGUUUUGGGGGUUGGACAGUAUGUUUUCUGGUUCUCCCUUUUCUGUAUUGCUGCUGUGUUUCUGGGUCCACGUGGGUGUCACCUAACUGGAACGCUGGCUCUGCACCAGGCCUCUUGUCCCUCCUUUCCCUCCGAACACCCGCACGCCUCCUCCUCGCCACCCCCGCUGCCUCGUCCCCAGCCUUUCUGGACCCUUGCUGCCUUUCUCACCCCACUCUUCUCAGAGCCACUCCCGCACCCGUGGCUCGUGUGCACCCCUCAUAACCUGCGGUCACUGUCUGCCUGCUUCACUCCCAGGACUCUCUCCCACAUCCGGUCCCAUUCGGACCUUGUCGCUCGGUCUCAAAUCUGACCCACGCAUGCACAGCUCUGCCAUACACUCACCCAUAGGUCAUAGUAAUACCUCACAGAAGAUCAGGCAGGCAAAUCAUUUUAAGACCUACAAAAACAUGAGUAAUUUAUAAUACUGAGAUGAGCAAAGAUUUUCUGCCCACGACACCAAAUCCAGAUUUCUUAAAAAUGAAUGUUAAGACGACUGAAGUUAAACUUUUGUGUAGUAUUAAGAAAAAAUGAUUUUGUAAAGACAAACUAGGAAAACAUCUACCACUCAAGACAGUCUAACUUCCCUAAAGUAGAAAGGUGGCUAUAACUCACAGAGGUCAAACAAGCCGGUGACAAAAUGGUGAGAUGGGAAUGGGCAGCACCCCCAGAAGAGGUGCUGGUAUAAAUACCAAUAAACCCAAAUAUUGCUACAAUUAAAAAAAAGCAAUUAUGUAAUCUAUUUUUGCUCCUCGGAGUUGCAGUUUUAAAAAUUCAUAUGGAGGGGGGUUGGCAAGCAGGUAGGUAUUUUUGUUAUUACUGAAAUGACAUGUUGGUAAAAACUUUUCAGCAGGCUACAUUAGCAAUGUGUUAAAAUGUUAAGCAUCUCCACUCUGACCCAACAACUCUACUUCCAGAAACACAUCCUAAGUAGGUCUCAGCGGGGCAGAGAGGAGAGGGACCAGCAUUUGCUGUGGGCAACAACCCCGUGUUUCUCACUAGGAGCCGGGACGCAAAUGCUGGAGCAGCUACAUCCUGGAAUGGUGCUGAUGGAGAGGGAGGCACCGCCAUAUCACGUGUCCAAGACACACAUGUAACGCCCGCUGCUUCCUGAAGUGAGUGUGCCUGUGUAUACUCCCCACUGGAGCCCGUGAGCUUCCUAGUUCUGCAUCUUGGCCAACACUUGGUAUGUCAUACUCCCUCAUUUCUACCAUCUGAGAGGCAUAUAGUGGUUUCAACCGACGUGUCCCUGAUGACUAAUGAAGCUGUAUUUCUUUUCCCAUUGAGCAGCCAUCUGAAUUCCUUCUUUAGUAAGGGGUCUGUUCACUCCUCUUUUGUCCAUUUUCCUAUUAGAAUAAUUACUUUUUUCUAUUUGAUUUGUAGUUUUAUAUUCUGGUAACUUCCCCAUUACCAAUUUUCUACCUGUCCUCCUAUUUUAACUACAUUCUCUAAAUUUUGCAGAAAAAAGAAUUGGUGGAAGGAUUUCUGAUUUGGUAAGAACUGUACAUGCUCGUAGAUCACUCUUACUAAAGCUGUUUUGCCUCUGAAGAAAGGGAUCUGAUCCAACCUACCAUCCUCCCUGCUCUCUCUCGUAGGCAGCUUUCAGAACUCUGGAUGCUGAUUUCAAACCCUGCCUCCUCAGGGAAACACUCCACACUUUAAGAGCCCCAUGACUCAGGCAGGGAUUUUUUAACAACUUAAAAUCUUAUUUUAAGAGUGGAGAGAAUUAUUAAGAAAUGGGCAAGUAUUUAAAUAAAUUUGCUGAAAUCCAUGCUGGGCUCCAAGGUCAGACUAAACCAGAAAGUUGAAUAUCACCUCAUCUUCAAAAUUCAAACACCCCACCUGCUGCCUGAGCUCAUAGCCUGGGUCUUGCCCCUUUA